GACGUAGGAGGCGAGCGUUGUCCGGAUUCAUUGGGCGUAAAGAGCACGCAGGCGGUUUGGCAAGUCGGAUGUGAAAACCCGGAGCUCAACUCCGGGCGUGCAUCCGAUACUGCCCGACUAGAGGUAGGUAGGGGAGAUCGGAAUUCCUGGUGUAGCGGUGAAAUGCGCAGAUAUCAGGAGGAACACCGAUUGCGAAGGCAGCUCGCUGGAACGUUACUGACGCUGAGGCACGAAAGCGUGGGGAGCAAACAGG
rnacentral:rRNA from 1 species